rnacentral:tRNA from 1 species
GCCGGUGUAGCUCAGGGGCAGAGCAGCUCACUCGUAAUGAGCAGGCCGUCGGUUCGAUUCCGACCACCGGCU